GCCCUAGAUUCGGCUGGACAUAUACUAAAUUUUAAACGAUUCAGAGAAGAUUAGCAUGGCCCCUGCGCAAGGAUGACACGCAAAAUCGUGAGGCGUUUCAUAUUUUU
rfam:Aedes albopictus isolate Foshan contig241872, whole genome shotgun sequence.